rnacentral:ncRNA from 1 species
AGGACAAAAGACUUAGUCCUAACCUUACCGUUAAUUCUUGCUAGACAUAUACAUGCAAGUAUCCGCACCCCAGUGUAAAUACCCUAGACAUCUUACACAGACAAAGAUAAUAGGAGCAGGUAUCAGGCACGCAUUAACUGCAGCCCAAAACACCUUGCCCAGCCACACCCCCACGGGACUUCAGCAGUAAUUAACAUUAAGCAAUGAGUGAAAACUCGACUUAGCCAUAGCAACAACCCUUAGGGUUGGUAAAUCUUGUGCCAGCCACCGCGGUCAUACAAGAAACCCAAAUUAACUUUAUACGGCGUAAAGAGUGGUCUUUAAUUAUCAUCCUAACUAAGAUUGAAAUGUAACUAAGCCGUUAUAAGCAUUAGACACAUCUAAUAUCUUCCCCAAAAGCGAUCUUAGCCCAACGACCAAUCAAACUCCACGAAAGCCAGGACACAAACUGGGAUUAGAUACCCCACUAUGCCUUGCCAUAAAUCCCGAUGCUUAUUUACUCAAGCAUCCGCCUGAGAACUACGAGCACAAACGCUUAAAACUCUAAGGACUUGGCGGUGCUCCAAACCCCCCUAGAGGAGCCUGUUCUAUAAUCGAUAACCCACGUUACCACCAAAACACUUUUGCCAAAACAGCCUAUAUACCGCCGUCCCCAGCUCACCCUAAAACUGAAGGACUAGAAGUGAGCACAAUAGCUUCCAUUCGCUAGCAAGACAGGUCGAGGUAUAGCCUAUAAGGUGGAAGAAAUGGGCUACAUUUUCUAUCAUAGAAAAUUCCACGACAAGAGGUGUGAAAUCACCCCUAAAAGGCGGAUUUAGCAGUAAAGCAGGACUAUAAUGCCUUCUUAAAAUCGGCCCUGGAGCACGUACAUACCGCCCGUCACCCUCCUCAUAAGCUAGCAAUUUCUCAUAUUACCUAAUUAGCAACUGAGCUAAAGAUGAGGUAAGUCGUAACAAGGUAAGUGUACCGGAAGGUGCACUUAGUUUACCAAGACG